rnacentral:rRNA from 1 species
GAUGAACGCUGGCGGCGUGCCUAAUACAUGCAAGUCGAGCGAACAGACAAGGAGCUUGCUCCUUUGACGUUAGCGGCGGACGGGUGAGUAACACGUGGGUAACCUACCUAUAAGACUGGGAUAACUUCGGGAAACCGGAGCUAAUACCGGAUAAUAUUUCGAACCGCAUGGUUCGAUAGUGAAAGAUGGUUUUGCUAUCACUUAUAGAUGGACCCGCGCCGUAUUAGCUAGUUGGUAAGGUAACGGCUUACCAAGGCGACGAUACGUAGCCGACCUGAGAGGGUGAUCGGCCACACUGGAACUGAGACACGGUCCAGACUCCUACGGGAGGCAGCAGUAGGGAAUCUUCCGCAAUGGGCGAAAGCCUGACGGAGCAACGCCGCGUGAGUGAUGAAGGUCUUCGGAUCGUAAAACUCUGUUAUUAGGGAAGAACAUACAUGUAAGUAACUAUGCACGUCUUGACGGUACCUAAUCAGAAAGCCACGGCUAACUACGUGCCAGCAGCCGCGGUAAUACGUAGGUGGCAAGCGUUAUCCGGAAUUAUUGGGCGUAAAGCGCGCGUAGGCGGUUUUUUAAGUCUGAUGUGAAAGCCCACGGCUCAACCGUGGAGGGUCAUUGGAAACUGGAAAACUUGAGUGCAGAAGAGGAAAGUGGAAUUCCAUGUGUAGCGGUGAAAUGCGCAGAGAUAUGGAGGAACACCAGUGGCGAAGGCGACUUUCUGGUCUGUAACUGACGCUGAUGUGCGAAAGCGUGGGGAUCAAACAGGAUUAGAUACCCUGGUAGUCCACGCCGUAAACGAUGAGUGCUAAGUGUUAGGGGGUUUCCGCCCCUUAGUGCUGCAGCUAACGCAUUAAGCACUCCGCCUGGGGAGUACGACCGCAAGGUUGAAACUCAAAGGAAUUGACGGGGACCCGCACAAGCGGUGGAGCAUGUGGUUUAAUUCGAAGCAACGCGAAGAACCUUACCAAAUCUUGACAUCCUUUGACAACUCUAGAGAUAGAGCCUUCCCCUUCGGGGGACAAAGUGACAGGUGGUGCAUGGUUGUCGUCAGCUCGUGUCGUGAGAUGUUGGGUUAAGUCCCGCAACGAGCGCAACCCUUAAGCUUAGUUGCCAUCAUUAAGUUGGGCACUCUAAGUUGACUGCCGGUGACAAACCGGAGGAAGGUGGGGAUGACGUCAAAUCAUCAUGCCCCUUAUGAUUUGGGCUACACACGUGCUACAAUGGACAAUACAAAGGGCAGCGAAACCGCGAGGUCAAGCAAAUCCCAUAAAGUUGUUCUCAGUUCGGAUUGUAGUCUGCAACUCGACUACAUGAAGCUGGAAUCGCUAGUAAUCGUAGAUCAGCAUGCUACGGUGAAUACGUUCCCGGGUCU